rnacentral:rRNA from 1 species
CGUUAGACGGCGGACGGGUGAGUAACACGUGGGUAACCUACCUAUAAGACUGGAAUAACUCCGGGAAACCGGGGCUAAUGCCGGAUAAUAUUUAGAACCGCAUGGUUCUAAAGUGAAAGAUGGUUUUACUAUCACUUAUAGAUGGACCCGCGCCGUAUUAGCUAGUUGGUGGGGUAAUGGCUUACCAAGGCAACGAUACGUAGCCGACCUGAGAGGGUGAUCGGCCACACUGGAACUGAGACACGGUCAGACUCCUACGGGAGGCAGCAGUAGGGAAUCUUCCGCAAUGGGCGAAAGCCUGACGGAGCAACGCCGCGUGAGUGAUGAAGGUCUUCGGAUCGUAAAACUCUGUUAUUAGGGAAGAACAAAUGUGUAAGUAACUGUGCACGUCUUGACGGUACCUAAUCAGAAAGCCACGGCUAACUACGUGCCAGCAGCCGCGGUAAUACGUAGGUGGCAAGCGUUAUCCGGAAUUAUUGGGCGUAAAGCGCGCGUAGGCGGUUUCUUAAGUCUGAUGUGAAAGCCCACGGCUCAACCGUGGAGGGUCAUUGGAAACUGGGAAACUUGAGUGCAGAAGAGGAAAGUGGAAUUCCAUGUGUAGCGGUGAAAUGCGCAGAGAUAUGGAGGAACACCAGUGGCGAAGGCGACUUUCUGGUCUGUAACUGACGCUGAUGUGCGAAAGCGUGGGGAUCAAACAGGAUUAGAUACCCUGGUAGUCCACGCCGUAAACGAUGAGUGCUAAGUGUUAGGGGGUUUCCGCCCCUUAGUGCUGCAGCUAACGCAUUAAGCACUCCGCCUGGGGAGUACGACCGCAAGGUUGAAACUCAAAGGAAUUGACGGGGACCCGCACAAGCGGUGGAGCAUGUGGUUUAUUCGAAGCAACGCGAAGAACCUUACCAAAUCUUGACAUCCUUUGACAACUCUAGAGAUAGAGUCUUCCCCUUCGGGGGACAAAGUGACAGGUGGUGCAUGGUUGUCGUCAGCUCGUGUCGUGAGAUGUUGGGUUAAGUCCCGCAACGAGCGCAACCCUUAAGCUUAGUUGCCAGCAUUAAGUUGGGCACUCUAAGUUGACUGCCGGUGACAAACCGGAGGAAGGUGGGGAUGACGUCAAAUCAUCAUGCCCCUUAUGAUUUGGGCUACACACGUGCUACAAUGGACAAUACAAAGGGCAGCUAAACCGCGAGGUCAUGCAAAUCCCAUAAAGUUGUUCUCAGUUCGGAUUGUAGUCUGCAACUCGACUACAUGAAGCUGGAAUCGCUAGUAAUCGUAGAUCAGCAUGCUACGGUGAAUACGUUCCCGGGUCUUGUACACACCGCCC